GACAUACCUUACAACUUUAAACACUUUUUAUGUUCACAUGAUAUAAUUAUAAUGCAUAUUAUCAUGGUAUCUUCUUGUACAAUUCAAAAUUCCUCCAAUUAAGUAACAUGUAAAAUAUCAUACAUGAUCAUUCAAUGAAAGCACAGUUUUUAUUUGAAAGAAAAAAAAUAUUUAUCCAUCUCUUGUGUACAUGAAAACUCCCAUCCUUUUUUCUCCUUGAAGAAAUGGAAUCCCCCACCUUACAUCUUUAAAAGUUCUAACCCAAAUUCCUCUCUCUCUCUCUCUCNN
rnacentral:lncRNA from 1 species